AAAUGAUGGGAAUGCUUAGUGGCGGACUGGUGAGUAACGCGUGAGGAACCUGCCUUUCAGAGGGGGACAACAGUUGGAAACGACUGCUAAUACCGCAUGAUGUGUGACGGGGGCAUCCCUGACACACCAAAGAUUUUAUCGCUGAAAGAUGGCCUCGCGUCUGAUUAGCUAGUUGGUGAGGUAACGGCCCACCAAGGCGACGAUCAGUAGCCGGACUGAGAGGUUGAACGGCCACAUUGGGACUGAGAUACGGCCCAGACUCC
rnacentral:rRNA from 1 species